AGCUCCAAUAGCGUAUAUUAAAGUUGUUGCAUUUAAAAAGCUCGUAGUUGAAUUUUAACUAAAAUUAUUAACUUCAGCAUUAUAUUAUAUAAAGUUGUUAAGUUGUUUAGUUUUAGUUUUUAUGUAUAACUUUUAUUUAAUGAUUUAUUUCAUUUCUAAAAUCUAUACAUCUUUUACUUUGAGUAAAUUAGAGUGUUUCAAGCAAGCUUUAUAAUGCUUUGAAUACUGUAGCAUGGAAUAAUAAUAUAAGACUUUGGUUUUAUAUUGUUGGUUCAAAGACCAAAGUAAUGAUUAAUAGGGAUAGUUGGGGGUAUUUGUACUUACCUGUCAGAGGUGAAAUUCUAUGAUUAGGUGAGGACAGACAACUGCGAAAGCAUUUACCAAAGAUGUUUUCAUUAAU
rnacentral:rRNA from 1 species